rnacentral:rRNA from 1 species
AUGAACGCUAGCUACAGGCUUAACACAUGCAAGUCGAGGGGCAGCAUGGUCUUAGCUUGCUAAGGCCGAUGGCGACCGGCGCACGGGUGAGUAACACGUAUCCAACCUGCCGUCUACUCUUGGACAGCCUUCUGAAAGGAAGAUUAAUACAAGAUGGCAUCAUGAGUCCGCAUGUUCACAUGAUUAAAGGUAUUCCGGUAGACGAUGGGGAUGCGUUCCAUUAGAUAGUAGGCGGGGUAACGGCCCACCUAGUCUUCGAUGGAUAGGGGUUCUGAGAGGAAGGUCCCCCACAUUGGAACUGAGACACGGUCCAAACUCCUACGGGAGGCAGCAGUGAGGAAUAUUGGUCAAUGGGCGAGAGCCUGAACCAGCUAAGUAGCGUGAAGGAUGACUGCCCUAUGGGUUGUAAACUUCUUUUAUAAAGGAAUAAAGUCGGGUAUGGAUACCCGUUUGCAUGUACUUUAUGAAUAAGGAUCGGCUAACUCCGUGCCAGCAGCCGCGGUAAUACGGAGGAUCCGAGCGUUAUCCGGAUUUAUUGGGUUUAAAGGGAGCGUAGAUGGAUGUUUAAGUCAGUUGUGAAAGUUUGCGGCUCAACCGUAAAAUUGCAGUUGAUACUGGAUAUCUUGAGUGCAGUUGAGGCAGGCGGAAUUCGUGGUGUAGCGGUGAAAUGCUUAGAUAUCACGAAGAACUCCGAUUGCGAAGGCAGCCUGCUAAGCUGCAACUGACAUUGAGGCUCGAAAGUGUGGGUAUCAAACAGGAUUAGAUACCCUGGUAGUCCACACGGUAAACGAUGAAUACUCGCUGUUUGCGAUAUACUGCAAGCGGCCAAGCGAAAGCGUUAAGUAUUCCACCUGGGGAGUACGCCGGCAACGGUGAAACUCAAAGGAAUUGACGGGGGCCCGCACAAGCGGAGGAACAUGUGGUUUAAUUCGAUGAUACGCGAGGAACCUUACCCGGGCUUAAAUUGCAGAUGAAUUACGGUGAAAGCCGUAAGCCGCAAGGCAUCUGUGAAGGUGCUGCAUGGUUGUCGUCAGCUCGUGCCGUGAGGUGUCGGCUUAAGUGCCAUAACGAGCGCAACCCUUGUUGUCAGUUACUAACAGGUUCCGCUGAGGACUCUGACAAGACUGCCAUCGUAAGAUGUGAGGAAGGUGGGGAUGACGUCAAAUCAGCACGGCCCUUACGUCCGGGGCUACACACGUGUUACAAUGGGGGGUACAGAGGGCCGCUACCACGCGAGUGGAUGCCAAUCCCCAAAACCUCUCUCAGUUCGGACUGGAGUCUGCAACCCGACUCCACGAAGCUGGAUUCGCUAGUAAUCGCGCAUCAGCCACGGCGCGGUGAAUACGUUCCCGGGCCUUGUACACACCGCCCGUCAAGCCAUGGGAGCCGGGGGUACCUGAAGUGCGUAACCGCGAGGAGCGCCCUAGGGUAAAACUGGUGACUGGGGCU